UACAGAGGCCUCGAGCGUUAGGCGGAAUCACUGGGCUUAAAGCGUGUGUAGGCGGACUUCUAAGUACCUUGUGAAAUCCCACGGCUCACCCGUGGAACUGCUCGGUAUACUGGUCGUCUUGAGCCUUCUAGGGGCGAGUGGAACAAAUGGUGGAGCGGUGAAAUGCGUAGAUAUCGUUAAGGAAGACCAGUGGCGAAGGC
rnacentral:rRNA from 1 species